rnacentral:ncRNA from 17 species
UAGUUGUGCCAGAUUUUUGAUUGCUUCAAAAACCAGCAACCAAAGCUCUGGCGGGGAAUCCGGUGAGAAUCCGGAACUGUCGCGCAACGGUAUGGGAGAAUAAAGAUCACAGGCUUUUUUGGUUAUGACAGAAAAGUAAGGCUGCAUCGGGAGAAUUCGUUUUCAACCGCUGGCAAGCCGUGAUCCUCAAUACAGUUGAUUUAGUUUAUACGGUAAUAAAUUAGAUUAACGGUUUACUCCCGAGUCCGAAUACCAACUGAAGAUGGCAGCGGUUCU